rnacentral:lncRNA from 1 species
GGGCAGCCUGCCUUUGACACCAUGAGGAAUCCCCUUCAUGCAGAGUCAAUGAGGAGAGGAAGAUGUCACAGAAUCCGUGGAAGGAAAGAAAACAAAAGAAAAGGAAAUGUGGACAGAGACACACAGAGGGAAGACGAGGUGAAGAGACACCGGGAAGGCCACCUACCUGCCAGGAGAGAGGCCUGGAACAGAGCCUUCCCGCACCGCCCUGAAAAGGGACCUUCCCUGCCGACACCUUGAUCUUGGACCUACAGCCUGCAGGACUGUGAGACAGUGAGAUUCUGUUGCUGAAGCUGCCCAGUCUGUGGUACUUUAAGGAAGCCCAAGCAAACCAAUGCAGCGUGGUAGCCCACAGCUGGUGAAAAGAUGGAAUGAGCGACGGAGCCCCAGGCUUCCUGUCUACACCUCCCAAAGUGCGCUACGGGAUCCUUUGGUGGGUGCAGGUUUGCAAGAUAAUUUUAGGAGGUGCAGGGUGCAUAAUUUCAAUGUACAUUAUUAUGGAUUUAUCUUACUGUGAAAAUGCUUCUAAGAAUAGUUUACUUAAGGUUUACAUGCUACUCAAGAUAUAGCUUUAAAUGCUAACAAAAAGUGGACUCAAAUGAAAACAUUCUCUUGCUGUGGUCCAGGGAAUCUUGAUGUUUUUUCCAGAGAGACUCGCAGCUUUCAGCUACAGCUGCCCUCCCCUUCCUGUCCACUGCACAUCCCCACAACACACACACAUAUACAUACAUACAUGCACAGACAUCCACACGCACACACAUAUACGUACAUGCACACGCAUACAUGCACACACAUAUGCAUGCACACACCUGCACACACACACACACACACACACACACACACUGUGCGUCAUGCCCUUACUAAGGAGGCAUGGAAGGGAAUGUGUGUCUGUAAGGAAAUGAAGAUGGCUCAAGCCCCUGGUUCCCUGGGUGUUUGCACAGGCACCCUCCCUGCAGACCUUUCUUUGGUCUCUUUCUCUCUCUUAGUGAAAGAGAGAAG